rnacentral:rRNA from 1 species
GACGAACGCUGGCGGCGUGCUUAACACAUGCAAGUCGAACGGAAAGGCCCUGCUUUUGUGGGGUGCUCGAGUGGCGAACGGGUGAGUAACACGUGAGUAACCGGCUCUUGACUUUGGGAUAACUUCAGGAAACUGGGCUUAAUACCGGAUAGGAGCUCCUGCUGCAUGGUGGGGGUUGGAAAGUUUCGGCGGUUGGGGAUGGACUCGCGGCUUAUUAGUUUGUUGGUGGGGUAGUGGCUUACCAAGGCCUUGACGGGUAGCCGGCCUGAGUGGGUGACCGGCCACAUUGGGACUGAGAUACGGCCCAGACUGCUACGGGAGGCAACAGUGGGGAAUAUUGCACAAUGGGCGGAAGCGUGAGGCAGAGACGCCGGGUGCGGGAUGACGGCCUUCGGGUUAUAAACCGCUUUCGCCUGUGACGAAGCGUGAGUGACGGUAAUGAGUAAAGAAGCACCGGCUAACUACGUG